GGGCCCGCACAAGCGGUGGAGCAUGUGGUUUAAUUCGAUGAUACGCGAGGAACCUUACCAGGGCUUAAAUGCAUAAUGACAGGGGUAGAGAUACCCUUUUCUUCGGACAUUUUGCAAGGUGCUGCAUGGUUGUCGUCAGCUCGUGCCGUGAGGUGUCAGGUUAAGUCCUAUAACGAGCGCAACCCCUGUGGUUAGUUGCCAGCGAGUAAUGUCGGGAACUCUAGCCAGACUGCCGGUGCAAACCGCGAGGAAGGUGGGGAUGACGUCAAAUCAUCACGGCCCUUACGCCCUGGGCCACACACGUGCUACAAUGGCAGGUACAGCAAGCAGCCACUCCGCGAGGAGGAGCGAAUCUGUAAAGCCUGUCACAGUUCGGAUCGUAGGCUGCAACUCGCCUACGUGAAGGCGGAAUCGCUAGUAAUCG
rnacentral:rRNA from 1 species